GAAAUGCGAUACUUGGUGUGAAUUGCAGAAUCCCGUGAACCAUCGAGUCUUUGAACGCAAGUUGCGCCCGAAGCCAUUAGGUUAAGGGCACGUCUGCCUGGCUGUCUCACGUUACGUCGCCCGUGCCCCCUCCGCCUGAAGGGGGAAAGAAGGGCUGCGACGGAUGUUGGCUCCUGCGCGUGUGCCCUGGCGUGGUCGGCCAAAAAGUGAGUGCCCCGCGACAGACGACAUGUCGCAACAGACGACGUGUCGUGACGAGUGGUGGUUGACAAACCGUUGCGUCACCUCGCGCGAAUCCGGGCCAUCUUGGGAGGCCUGUCGUGACCCUAUCACGCCGCCAGGUCAGGCGUGAUUAUGCGCUGAGUUUAA
rnacentral:misc_RNA from 1 species